GCACUGCUGAGGAGUCCGAUGAUAGGGCGAAACGGCCGUCCAGUGC
rfam:Schistosoma mansoni, Puerto Rico, WGS project CABG01000000 data, contig: 0032